GGUCUCGUGGCGCAACGGUAGCGCGUUCGACUCCAGAUCGAAAGGUUAUCCGUUCAAAUCGGGUCGGGAUCA